GACGAACGCUGGCGGCGUGCCUAAUACAUGCAAGUUGAGCGCUGAAGGUUGGUACUUGUACCAACUGGAUGAGCAGCGAACGGGUGAGUAACGCGUGGGGAAUCUGCCUUUGAGCGGGGGACAACAUUUGGAAACGAAUGCUAAUACCGCAUAAAAACUUUAAACACAAGUUUUAAGUUUGAAAGAUGCAAUUGCAUCACUCAAAGAUGAUCCCGCGUUGUAUUAGCUAGUUGGUGAGGUAAAGGCUCACCAAGGCGAUGAUACAUAGCCGACCUGAGAGGGUGGUCGGCCACAUUGGGACUGAGACACGGCCCAAACUCCUACGGGAGGCAGCAGUAGGGAAUCUUCGGCAAUGGACGAAAGUCUGACCGAGCAACGCCGCGUGAGUGAAGAAGGUUUUCGGAUCGUAAAACUCUGUUGGUAGAGAAGAACGUUGGUGAGAGUGGAAAGCUCAUCAAGUGACGGUAACUACCCAGAAAGGGACGCCUAACUACGUG
rnacentral:rRNA from 1 species